rnacentral:rRNA from 1 species
GUGCCAGACUCCUACGGGAGGCAGCAGUAGGGAAUUUUCGCCAAUGGGCGCAAGCCUGAACGAGCGAUGCCGCGUGAGUGAAGAAGGCCUUCGGGUCGUAAAGCUCUGUUGCGGGGGAAAAAAGGCAUCUGCAGGAAAUGGUAGAUGACAGAUGGUGCCCCGCCAGAAAGUCACGGCUAACUACGUGCCAGCAGCCGCGGUAAUACGUAGGGGGCAAGCGUUAUCCGGAUUUACUGGGUGUAAAGGGAGCGUAGACGGCAGUGCAAGUCUGAAGUGAAAGCCCCGGGCUUAACCCGGGAAUUGCUUUGGAAACUGUCCGGCUGGAGUGCUGGAGAGGUAAGCGGAAUUCCUAGUGUAGCGGUGAAAUGCGUAGAUAUUAGGAGGAACGCCAGCGGCGAAGGCGGCUUACUGGACAGUAACUGACGUUGAGGCUCGAAAGCGUGGGGAGCAAACAGGAUUAGAUACCCUUGUAA